UGGGGAAUCUUGGACAAUGGGCGCAAGCCUGAUCCAGCCAUGCCGCGUGAGUGAAGAAGGCCUUAGGGUUGUAAAGCUCUUUUACCAGGGACGAUAAUGACGGUACCUGGAGAAUAAGCCCCGGCAAACUUCGUGCCAGCAGCCGCGGUAAUACGAAGGGGGCUAGCGUUGUUCGGAAUUACUGGGCGUAAAGCGCACGUAGGCGGAUCGUUAAGUCAGGGGUGAAAUCCCGGAGCUCAACUCCGGAACUGCCUUUGAUACUGGCGAUCUAGAGGUCGAGAGAGGUGAGUGGAAUUCCGAGUGUAGAGGUGAAAUUCGUAGAUAUUCGGAAGAACACCAGUGGCGAAGGCGGCUCACUGGCUCGAUACUGACGCUGAGGUGCGAAAGCGUGGGGAGCAAACAGGAUUAGAUACCCAUGUAGUCCCUGAGCGGGCUGGCAAGGCGCAU
rnacentral:rRNA from 1 species